GUCCACGCCGUAACGAUGGAUACUAGCUGUUGGAAGCAAUUCAGUGGCUAAGCGAAGUGAUAAGUAUCCCACCUGGGAGUACGUUCGCAAGAAUGAACUCAAAGGAAUUGACGGGCCCGCACAAGCGGUGGAGCAUGUGGUUAAUUCGAUGAUACGCGAGGAACCUUACCAAGGCUUAAAUGUAGAUUGACCGUUUUGGAAACAGAACUUUCGCAAGACAAUUUACAAGGUGCUGCAUGGUUGUCGU
rnacentral:rRNA from 1 species